UACGGAGGGGGCUAGCGUUGUUCGGAAUUACUGGGCGUAAAGCGCGCGUAGGCGGAUUGUUAAGUCGGGGGUGAAAUCCCGGGGCUCAACCCCGGAACUGCCUCCGAUACUGGCAAUCUAGAGGAUGAGAGAGGCGAGUGGAAUACCGAGUGUAGAGGUGAAAUUCGUAGAUAUUCGGUGGAACACCAGUGGCGAAGGCGGCUCGCUGGCUCAUUUCUGACGCUGAGGUGCGAAAGCGUGGGGAGCAAACAGG
rnacentral:rRNA from 1 species